rnacentral:rRNA from 1 species
AGUGAACGCUGGCGGCAGGCCUAACACAUGCAAGUCGAACGGCAGCACGGCAGUAGCAAUACUGUGGGUGGCGAGUGGCGGACGGGUGAGGAAAACGUAGGAACGUGCCCCUUGGAGUUGGAUAGCCACGGGAAACUGUGGGUAAACCGACAUAGACUCGAGAGAGUAAAGGCCGAAAGGCGCCAAGGGAGCGGCCUGCGGCCCAUCAGGUAGUUGGUAGUGUAAAGGACUACCAAGCCGACGACGGGUAGCCGGUCUGAGAGGAUGGCCGGCCACAAGGGCACUGAGAGACGGGCCCUACUCCUACGGGAGGCAGCAGUGGGGGAUUUGGACAAUGGGCGAAAGCCUGAUCCAGCGACGCCGCGUGGAGGACGAAGCCCUUCGGGGUGUAAACUCCUUUUCUCAGGGAAAAAGGAUGAUGGUACCUGAGGAAUAAGCCCGGCUAACUACGUGCCAGCAGCCGCGGUAAGCUAGUCUACG